UACGUAGGGGGCUAGCGUUGUCCGGAAUCAUUGGGCGUAAAGCGCGUGUAGGCGGCCCGGUAAGUCCGCUGUGAAAGUCAAAGGCUCAACCUUUGAAUGUCAGUGGAUACUGCCGGGCUAGAGUCCGGAAGAGGCGAGUGGAACUCCUGGUGUAGCGGUGGAAUGCGCAGAUAUCAGGAAGAACACCAACGGCGAAGGCAGCUCGCUGGGACGGUACUGACGCUGAGACGCGAAAGCGUGGGGAGCGAACAGG
rnacentral:rRNA from 1 species